UUAAUUGAAGCCAAAAUAGAGGCAAUUCACUGUUAAUGAAUUAAUUGAAUAAUUAUCCAAUUAAA
rnacentral:tRNA from 2 species